UUCCUGUAGGUGAACUUGCGGAGGGAUCAUUACCGAGUUUACAACUCCCAAACCCCUGUGAACAUACCAAUUGUUGCCUCGGCGGAUCAGCCCGCUCCCGGUAAAACGGGACGGCCCGCCAGAGGACCCCUAAACUCUGUUUCUAUAUGUAACUUCUGAGUAAAACCAUAAAUAAAUCAAAACUUUCAACAACGGAUCUCUUGGUUCUGGCAUCGAUGAAAAACGCAGCAAAAUGCGAUAAGUAAUGUGAAUUGCAGAAUUCAGUGAAUCAUCGAAUCUUUGAACGCACAUUGCGCCCGCCAGUAUUCUGGCGGGCAUGCCUGUUCGAGCGUCAUUUCAACCCUCAAGCCCAGCUUGGUGUUGGGACUCGCGAGUCAAAUCGCGUUCCCCAAAUUGAUUGGCGGUCACGUCGAGCUUCCAUAGCGUAGUAGUAAAACCCUCGUUACUGGUAAUCGUCGCGGCCACGCCCUUAAACCCCAACUUCUGAAUGUUGACCUCGGAUCAGGUAGGAAUACCCGCUGAACUUAAGCAUAUCAAUAA
rnacentral:rRNA from 2 species